CCCAGCGCUCAGUCAGCUGACCAGGUGAUGUGUCUGGCUCAGUGUUACAGUGCUGGUAGAGGAAGCCUCUGUUCUUGGUCUCGGCUCAGCAGGUUCUGUUUUAGAGUCUGCUGCAGUUGAGCUGUUGCAGAGCGCAGCCCAACGAGAGUGGCCUGUCCUGGGUCAACAGCAGGGCGGGCCUAGUGAAGGGCUGCACAUC
ensembl:snoRNA SNORA74 Small nucleolar RNA SNORA74